CCUACGGGGCGCAGCAGUGAGGAAUAUUGGUCAAUGGACGAGAGUCUGAACCAGCCAAGUAGCGUGAAGGAUGACUGCCCUAUGGUUUGUAAACUUCUUUUAUAUGGGAAUAAAAUGUUCCACGUGUGGGAUUUUGUAUGUACCAUAUGAAUAAGGAUCGGCUAACUCCGUGCCAGCAGCCGCGGUAAUACGGAGGAUCCGAGCGUUAUCCGGAUUUAUUGGGUUUAAAGGGAGCGUAGGUGGAUUGUUAAGUCAGUUGUGAAAGUUUGCGGCUCAACCGUAAAAUUGCAGUUGAAACUGGCAGUCUUGAGUACAGUAGAGGUGGGCGGAAUUCGUGGUGUAGCGGUGAAAUGCUUAGAUAUCACGAAGAACUCCGAUUGCGAAGGCAGUUCACUGGACUGCAACUGACACUGAGGCUCGAAAGUGUGGGUAUCAAACAGGAUUAGAUACCCGAGUAGUC
rnacentral:rRNA from 1 species